CACGGCGGAGGCGCCGCGGGCGGGCUGCGCGCAGGCGGAGCGGAGCGGAGCGGAGCGGAGCGGAGCGGGGC
rnacentral:miRNA from 12 species